rnacentral:lncRNA from 1 species
AAAAUAUGAAUUCAACUUUCACUCAACAAAUAAGAUAAAUUUCUUAGAAUUUUCUAUUUCUACAACACAUUCAUUAAGCGAGUUUAACUCCGGCUCAACAAAAUAUCAUUAUAUAAAAUUCUCGCAUUUUUUUUUUACAAAUUGUGUGUUUGGCUCAAAACCUACACUUAAAGAUCUUUAAGCAUUUUCAAGCAUUAGAAAAAAAGGUAUUAACAUAUAUAUCAUUUAAAAUAUUAAUAAUAUUAAAGAUUGAAUAAUGAUCUCUGCCGGAUAUU